rfam:Roseburia sp. CAG:45 genomic scaffold, scf82
UUAUGCCUGGGAUGUUCGACACGCCUGUUAUUUUGAACCUACAUUUACUUUAAACGGGAUUCCAAUAUUUCCAAUAGGAUGUCAGGCCUCCGUUUGCAGUGGAAGGCAGAGUAUUGGUUGAGGUUACCCACCUAGCUUUGCUAGGAGUCAAAAUACAGGAAACGGCAUUUUGGGUAUAUU